AAAUCUGACACUAGUAGACAGGUUGAAUAAACUAAAACAACGAGAGAAUAAUAUUGAAGGAACUCGGCAAAUUUAUUCUGUAACUUCGGGAAAAAGAAUACUUUUUUAUAAUAAAAUAUAAGAAAGUGACAUUAAAGAGAGGGCGACGACUGUUUAAUAAAAACACAGGACUUUGCUAAUUCGAAAGAAGACGUAUAAGGUCUGACUCCUGCCCGGUGCUGCAAAAUGAAAAAAUUAAUCUUUUUUAAUUAUAAAUUCCAGUAAACGGCGGCUGUAACUCUGACGGUCCUAAGGUAGCGAAGUUCCUUGGCGGGUAAGUUCCGUCCUGCAUGAAUGGAGUAACGAUUGUCCUACUGUCUCCAAUAUUAUCUUGAUGAAAUUGAAUUGGUUGUGAAGAUGCAA
rnacentral:rRNA from 1 species